rnacentral:rRNA from 1 species
UACGUAGGGUGCAAGCGUUGUCCGGAAUUAUGGGGCGUAAAGAGCUCGUAGGCGGUUUGUCGCGUCUGCUGUGAAAACUCGGGGCUUAACUCCGGGCCUGCAGUGGGUACGGGCAGACUAGAGUGCGGUAGGGGAGGCUGGAAUUCCUGGUGUAGCGGUGAAAUGCGCAGAUAUCAGGAGGAACACCGGUGGCGAAGGCGGGUCUCUGGGCCGAUACUGACGCUGAGGAGCGAAAGCGUGGGGAGCGAACAGG